rnacentral:rRNA from 1 species
UCGGGAAUUUUGGACAAUGGGCGCAAGCCUGAUCCAGCCAUGCCGCGUGUGGGAAGAAGGCCUUCGGGUUGUAAACCACUUUUGUCAGGGAAGAAACGGCCUGAUCUAAUACAUUGGGUUAAUGACGGUACCUGAAGAAUAAGCACCGGCUAACUACGUGCCAGCAGCCGCGGUAAUACGUAGGGUGCGAGCGUUAAUCGGAAUUACUGGGCGUAAAGCGUGCGCAGGCGGCUUUGCAAGACAGAUGUGAAAUCCCCGGGCUCAACCUGGGAACUGCAUUUGUGACUGCAAGGCUAGAGUACGGUAGAGGGGGAUGGAAUUCCGCGUGUAGCAGUGAAAUGCGUAGAUAUGCGGAGGAACACCGAUGGCGAAGGCAAUCCCCUGGACCUGUACUGACGCUCAUGCACGAAAGCGUGGGGAGCAAACAGGAUUAGAUACCCUCGUAGUCCCUGAGCGGGCUGGCAAGGCGCAU